rnacentral:rRNA from 1 species
GUAGUCUGCAACUCGACUACAUGAAGCUGGAAUCGCUAGUAAUCGCGAAUCAGAAUGUCGCGGUGAAUACGUUCCCGGGUCUUGUACACACCGCCCGUCACACCAUGGGAGUCAGUAACGCCCGAAGCCGGUGACCCAACCAGUUCAGGAGGGAGCCGUCGAAGGUGGGACCGAUAACUGGGGUGAAGUCGUAACAAGGUAAC